rnacentral:rRNA from 1 species
UACCAGCACCCCGAGUGGUCGGGACGUUUAUUGGGCCUAAAGCAUCCGUAGCCGGUUCUACAAGUCUUCCGUUAAAUCCACCUGCUUAACAGAUGGGCUGCGGAAGAUACUAUAGAGCUAGGAGGCGGGAGAGGCAAGCGGUACUCGAUGGGUAGGGGUAAAAUCCGUUGAUCCAUUGAAGACCACCAGUGGCGAAGGCGGCUUGCCGGAACGCGCUCGACGGUGAGGGAUGAAAGCUGGGGGAGCAAACCGG